UAAGAUACUAGUAAAAUGACUAUUACCUUGCCUUGUCAAGGCAAAAUUGCAGGUUAAAACCCUGCGUAUCUUAA
rnacentral:tRNA from 1 species